CGAUUUGCAAACAUGUCUGUGUCAGAUAUACGUGGUAGAAUGGUUCCUGUUUUGCGUAGAUAACGAGCCGUAAUGUCCAAGCUCGAUGUCAAUCACCGACCGUUAUUUAUCGACUCAGUUUUACCAUUGCUUACAUACUCUUAAUAUCGUUAAAAAGGAAAAAAAAAAAAGAGAGAGAGAGAAAAAAGUAUGAAUAUAACUGUAAUUAUCGUUGAACUACAAACGGGACUCUUCGACGUAUUAUGUUCAACUUUCCGUGGACAAACAAGAUAUUCAUCGUAAUUAGAUAAGGAAUAAAUGCACAUAAAAGUAUGAAAGAAGAUAUACAUCUAUUUAGAGAACGGAGAUGAGAGAAAAGUGAUUUUUGGAAAGAGAAAAGAAUUCCAUUCAUUGGGAAUCACUCGUAUAUUUUUAUAAUAUUUUAAAAACUCGGAUGAAUACACGUCUAUUAUAUUUAGAAAAUUGUAAUGUAAGUUUUUAUAUCGUGUUUCAUUUAACUGUAUUUUUUCCACCGACAGCAAAGAUUAGAAAUAGACAGGAAAGUCAACACGUUCUCGAGCGAAGAAUAGAUAUUUCGAUCGAUUCGAACUGUUCGUUGUUUGCCAACUAAUUACUGGAAAAAAUAGCGUCAAAGUCAAUUUACACGAAAUCUCGAACGUGAUCCGAAUCGAUUCAAUAGGCCAUCGAAUUCUUGGUUCAUUAAAAUAUGUAUAAACAAGUGUCCAAUGUAAUCAAACAUCAGUUUUCGUCUCCGAGACCAAGCAAUCGAAAGAUUUUUAAUCGUCGACACGAACAGCUGUCCACUAAAAAUCUAGCAUACGAGUAUAAAUUAUUAAACGGAUCAUGCAAACACUUGAUUUAUUUCAUCGAUGAAGAUUAUAUUUGAUGUAUUUCGUUUAUUAAUUUUUUCUUCGAAAUUACGAAUGAUCCUCCAGUAUUCUAUAUUUUUCUUUUACGGUAUCGUUAUCGUAAAUUUUGAAAAUUGUAUCAAAUAUUAAAUUAUAUUUAUUUAAAUUUUGUAAAAAAAUUUCUGUAUUGUAAUUUAAAAUGUUGAAAAUUUUAUUAAUAGAAAUGAAUAAUAAUUAAAAAUUUAAAUUUAAAUAAAUUAAA